UACAGAGGUCCCGAGCGUUGUUCGGAUUCAUUGGGCGUAAAGGGUGCGUAGGCGGCGGGGCAAGUCUGAUGUGAAAUCCCGGGGCUCAACCCUGGAACUGCAUUGGAUACUGCCUUGCUAGAGUACUGGAGAGGAAACUGGAAUUUACGGUGUAGCAGUGAAAUGCGUAGAUAUCGUAAGGAAGACCAGUGGCGAAGGCGAGUUUCUGGACAGUUCCUGACACUGAGACACGAAGGCCAGGGGAGCAAACGGG
rnacentral:rRNA from 1 species